rnacentral:rRNA from 1 species
AACCAUCGAAUCAAAGCCGGAUGGAUGAAGUGGCGCCAAGCUUCUGGCAUUCUCUGUGACAAGAGAGUGCCACAAAAGCUAAAAGGCAAGUUCUACAAGACGGCAGUUCGACCCGCAAUGUUGUAUGGCGCUGAGUGUUGGCCGACUAAAAGGCGACAUGUUCAACAGCUAGGUGUGGCGGAGAUGCGUAUGUUGAGAUGGAUGUGUGGCCACACGAGGAAGGAUCGAGUCCGGAAUGAUGAUAUACGAGAUAGAGUUGGGGUAGCACCAAUUGAAGAGAAGCUUGUCCAACAUCGUCUGAGAUGGUUUGGGCAUAUUCAGCGCAGGCCUCCAGAAGCUCCGGUGCAUAGUGGACGGCUAAAGCGUGCGGAU